GACGAACGCUGGCGGCGUGCCUAAUACAUGCAAGUCGAGCGGAUCUUGCUUGAGAGCUUGCUUUCAAGCUUGGUUAGCGGCGGACGGGUGAGUAACACGUAGGUAACCUGCCCUCAAGACCGGGAUAACAUUCGGAAACGAAUGCUAAGACCGGAUACGCGGGGCGCUCGCAUGAGCGCUUCGGGAAACACGGUGCAAGCUGUGGCUUGAGGAUGGGCCUGCGGCGCAUUAGCUAGUUGGUGGGGUAACGGCUUACCAAGGCGACGAUGCGUAGCCGACCUGAGAGGGUGAACGGCCACACUGGGACUGAGACACGGCCCAGACUCCUACGGGAGGCAGCAGUAGGGAAUCUUCCACAAUGGGCGAAAGCCUGAUGGAGCAACGCCGCGUGAGUGAGGAAGGCUUUCGGGUCGUAAAGCUCUGUUGCCAGGGAAGAAUAAGGAUGAGUUAACUGCUCAUUCGAUGACGGUACCUGAGAAGAAAGCCCCGGCUAACUACGUGCCAGCCGCCGCCGUAAAAC
rnacentral:rRNA from 1 species